rnacentral:lncRNA from 1 species
AAAGAACAUUUUCCCUGUGUUACUUAAGACUGGAAAGCAUAGAAGAAUCUUCAUUUCAAACAAUACUUUUGGCUGCAAUACAUGUAUUUUGUAAUUACAUUUGUUUUAAAUACUGCCCAGCUAAUCUGGUUAUGUCCUGGGGCCAUUUUCCCUGGUUAUAGCUCUGAAACAAAUGAUGAUUUAUUUUCUGGUUGUUACUUAAGUGCAUAUAGAUGUGAUCUUUGAAGGAACCUCAUUUGUCUUUAUUCAGAUAAUUCAGUAAUCAGGCACAAGAAACUAAUCAAAGUGACUAAAUGAUGUCAGCUGACUACAAUAUUAUUUUCCAAAAACUUUUAAGCAGUGCUCUGCAGCUGUAUGUAAGUAACCUUUCUAUUGGGAAUUGAUGUCUUCUAGGGUUUUGUGUUUUGAAGGAACAUGUGUUCAGAGACCUCACCAGCUGCCUAUGGAAACCAUUUUGCUCUUAAAGCAAAAACAUAUGUCAGGCCAAGCCUGCCUAAGUGCAAAGGACAGAGGACUCACAAGAAAGAGAGGUGUGCAACCGCUCUUGACCAGGUACAAACCAAGCAGUGGGAAAUGGGCAUCACAAAAUCCUCCUGGCAGCAUCCCUGAAGCCUGAGCCUGAAGCGUGCAAUGCCAGGUCUGUCCUGCACAGGAAGCUGUAGACGUUCCAACACACCAUGAAGAUUUUCAUUGCUAAAUUCUUCUGAGUAUGAAUAAAUUGCAAUUUGUCAACUGUUUAUGACUUGGCAAAGCAUGACUGGGUUUUCCCUAAAGGAUCGAAAAGCACAUCCCUAGCAGAAAGGCAGCUCUUAGUGCCAAACCAAGAGCCUCUACUGCAAAGCUCCAAGGCACUUGAACUUCCUAAGUAAAAGGUUACUUAACCUUUUUUAGCUUUGGAAACCAGUGCAUUGUUUACCCUUAGCCUUUGUUCUCAUAAACAGCAGAACUGCUUCGACUGAUGUUUUCAGAAACAAAAACCUGCCCAAGGCAUGGAAAAAUCUCCUACAUGUUGUGGUACACAAAAGCCAGAGUUUUACAGUAGGAAAUAACAAGUGGCUUGGGUAACAGGGUUGCCAUCCCACCUAAAAUCACAAUGAAAUAAGCAGUGUUACAGUGGCAGGGUAGCUGUACCUCUCCUUGUUGUGGGCUCCUGCUAUCCUUGCACCCAAACCCACAGGCUUCCCUGCCCAUGCGAGCUGGGACUUGCGCAUGCAGGUUCCUCCUCCCAGGCCCCCAUCAGCCCAGUGACUGGGAUGUGUGCAUUCAGCAGACAUUGGUUUGGGAGGCG